UUUUAAGCUCUGACCUCAAAUCAGGUAGGACUACCCGCUGAACUUAA
rnacentral:rRNA from 1 species